rnacentral:lncRNA from 1 species
GGGCCCCCGACGCAAGAUGGCUGUGUCGCGUCGGCCUCUAAACAAUGUGUGGAGCGCGCAGCUCCUGCACCAGGGCCUGGUGGCUUGUCCUGCCCGCCCGUGGGGGCCGUGUGAUCUGUUUUCGGAAACCGAAAUAUUUAUUGUUGGAUUUAUCCAGGAAGGCUGUUCUGCAUUAGUUAAAUGCAUCAUAUCUUCAAGAAAUGUUAAAUGACAUGGAUGCUUCCAGCCCUGAAGCAUCAGACUCCAGGUUCUUUGGCUUUUGGACUCUUGGAGUUACACCAGUGGUUUCCCAGGAACUCUCCAGCCUUGGGCCACAGACUGAAGUUUGCACUGUCGGCUUCCCUGCUUUUGAGGUUUUGUGACUCAGACUGAGCCAACUGGCUUCCUUGCUC